ACAGAUGAGUGGCUGGGCAAGUUGUGGUAUAUAUACACAAUGGAAUACUACUCAGCUGUGAAAAAUGGUGACUUCACUGUUUUCAGCCGAUCUUGGAUGGACCUUGAAAAAAUCAUGUUGAGUGAAAUAAGUCAGAAACAGAAGGAUGAAUAUGGGAUGAUCUCACUCUCAGGCCGAAGUUGAAAAACAAGAUCAGAAAAGAAAACACAAGUAGAACCUGAAAUGGAAUUGGCAUAUCGCAUCAAAGUAAAAGACUCUGGGGUAGGUGGGUGGGGAGAGUACAGGUCCAAGAAGGAUUCAGAGGACCUAGUAGGGAUUGUAUUGUUAUAUGGGAAACUGGGGAAUGUUAUGCAUGUACAGACUAUUGUACUUACUGUUGAAUGUAAGACAUGAAUUCCCCAAUUAAAAAAAAAAAAGAAAGAAAACAAGAACUUUUCUGGGGAUCUGUGACGUCUCCCCAAGAAUGCCUUUGUAAUCACUCAAAACAUCAAAUAACUAUGAAGUACACUGGGCCAGCAGGAUGCUUUGUGAAAUAUGCACAGAGUUCUUACUUGAGCUGCUGAAGAACUAAUAGCUUUCCUUUGGGGGUGAAAAUAAAAAAAGAAAAGACUGGAGCCAGGCGGUAGCGCAACGGGUUAAGCGCACAUGGCACGAAGCACAAGGAACAGAAGAAGGAUCCCAGUUCAAGCCCCCAACUCCCCACCUGCAAGAGAGUCACUUCACAAGCAGUGAAGCAGGUCUGCAGUUGUCUGUCUUUCUCUCCCCUCUGUCUUCCCCUCCUCUCUCCAUUUCUGUCUGUCCUAUCCAGCAACAACAACAUCAAUAACAACAACAAUAAUUACAACAAUAAAACAACAAGAGUAACAAAAGGGAAUAAAAAAAUCUUAAAAAGAAAAGACAAGCAUCUUCCCUUGUCCCCUUUCACUGUAACAGAAAACAAAAUUAAAAGCAAAAUACAGUUGGCAAUGCAGAAGAUGCCAUUUGGUCCCAACUGUAAAUUUUUUUUGUAAAUUCUUAUUUGUAUAUAUUAAUAAUUUAACAUUGUCUUAUCCUGUAAAUUUUGAGUAGCUCAAGAGCCAAGUCUUGAGUCUUGGAAGUAAAGAGGAGUAUAUGACAGCUGAAAGUGCUAUAGAGAUAAUCUGACUUAACCAAGGCCUGGCACAUAGUCCAACAACCACACAUCCCAGAAUGAAUGAAUGAAAUGUUUACUGUAAAAGACAGUCUUCUCACCCACUUGAAGCCUCUGCUCACAGUCUGGCAGCUACCAAACUCCUACCUCAGACCUGGUCCCAUUGAAGUCACAUGUAUGUAUCACAUUCAGCCUAGACCCUAUGGGAACAUCCAGUGUAUGGAUAAAUGGCUUCCCCUGGCCUGAGACAUUAAUAGGGUAUAGCUGCCUCCCUGUCAUAUUCUGAAAGUAGGAAAAAUGGUAGGUUUCUUUUUCCCUUUGUAGCCUAGUCCUGCCCAGAACAUUGAGACUGAUCUUCUAAUCAUUAUUGGGCAUGCCCAGGCCUCACACCACUUACCUUCUGGCUCUCAGGAAACACUGCCUGUACUGAGAGUUUACUCAGAUCCUGUACACAACAUUGGCAUUGGAAUCCCAGAUUAGCAAGGACCCUCAAGGUCCCCUGACUUCCACUACCCUUAUCACACUCCAAUUGCUAUACUAAUUCUUUCUGAGUAGAGUUCUCCCCAGAACAUUCCUGGGCUAUGGAGAUCAAGAACUGAGCUGCAUUAAUUUCUCCAUUUAAAACAGUUAAUGAAGGAGAAAUAGAAUUACUGAGUAUUACUAAUCCUAAAGCAGCUUUUGCCAGGCCUCACUUUCCCAUUGGCAGAAUUGUCAGGGCGGGCAAUGUGGGUUCACUCUUGAUUCUUGGUGGUUUAAAGUGUGCUCUGAGUGCCUCAGCAGCUUGUAAAGAUUUGGGUGUAAGGAAGAGCUAGCCAUCACUAGGCAGGCUGCAUGUUGUGAAGCCAGCCAGCUUUUCCUGUAGUGACAACUGUAUCUCCUUUCAGUACUGCUACUUCUCCUACCAGACCUCCACCUCUUUCCUCUCAGCCAGCUGCCUGUGGAGACUUUCCUAUAUAGCUUUGAGGACAUGAACCUGACAGCACACACAGACAAAAAAAUUCAAUGAGCAAAAAGAUGAAUCAUAGAUAAGUGUGUGGAAUCACUGUAUUACAGCACAAAUAUAAGCUCCUUAAGAAAAAAAAAAAAAGGGAGUUGGGCUGUAGUGCAGCGGGCUAAGCGCAGGUGGCGCAAAGCACAAGGACCGGCAUAAGGAUCCCGGUUCAAACCCCGGCUCCCCACCUGCAGGGGAGUCACUUCACAGGCGGUGAAGCAGGUCUGCAGGUGUCUAUCUUUCUCUCCUCCUCUCUGUCUUCCCCUCCCUCUCCAUUUCUCUCUGUCCUAUCCAACAACAACAACAAUAAUAAUAACUACAACAAUAAAACAACAAGGGCAACAAAAGGGAAUAAAUAAAUUAAAUAAAUAUAAAAAAAA